rnacentral:tRNA from 1 species
GGGCCGAUGGUGACAACGGAAUCACGCCUCGCUCGCACCGAGGAGUUCCUGGGUUCGAAUCCCGGUUGGUCCA